AUAUCAGUAAGAGCCCGUGGUCUGGCAUAUCACUCCUCUCCCUUUCACCCAGGAGAACAAGGGAGACCAUUGUCACAUCAUCAGUGGUCAGCCAAUCAAAUUGGAGUUUUGCCACAAUAUCCCUACCCCCAUUACCCUAUGGGAGUUCCAAGGUUGCUCCUAUGGAAGGAGGGAGCUAAGGAGGAGGCCUGGCCUGAGCCAAAGGAUGAUUAUUACAACAUGGAUUGUGUACAUAAUAGCCCGGCAAAAAGCGGGAUUCUGCUUCCCACCAAAAACCAGUUCGGACAUUGAAGUUGUGGAAAGCGAGGCAGUGUCAGUGGUACAACACUGGCUGAAAAAGACCGAAGAAGAGGCUUCCCAAGGUAUCAAACAAAAGAUGUCAAACUGUCCUCCAACUCAUGGUCAAGAAGUGCAUGUGACAAGAGAUGUGAUGAAACAUCAUAUUUCAAAAUCUGACUUGUCAGCAAAUCGGAGCCAAGAGGUCCUUGAGGAGAGAACACGGAUCCAAUUCAUAAGAUGGAGUCACACUCGUAUCUUCCAAGUCCCAAGCGAAGUGAGAGAUGAGGCCAUGCGGGAGAGGAUAGAGCAGGUGAGAAGAAGCGUGUCUCAAGUUAUGGUUGAAUGUGCCCCCAGUGUUCAACCCUCAUUCACAGACUGCUAGAAUCCACAGUUCCCUUUGCCGAUUCUCCGUGCCAGUGCUCGCGGAGGAGUGAAGAGAAUUGACUCCCAGAAAAGAGGGAGCAGAAAGGGGUCCGUGGAGAGCAAGCUUUCUGGGCUCCAGAGCGAUGCUCGAAAUUCAUUUUCCAUCCUGAGAGGGGAAAAACAAAGGGGAGAGAAAGCAGCAGUUGUUCUUUACAAGUUUGGGAAACUUUGCUCCAAGCCAGACAGAUCGGAGCGGAUGGGGGUAAUGUGGUGGAAAGCGGCUUUGAAUUCAUUAGAGGUUUUCUCUCGCUUUCCCAUGCUUCUGCCACCCCCACCUUUUUGCACACACAAUUUGUUUUUUCCUUUGCCUAUUUAUUGUGUGAUUGGGAUGGGGAGAGAGGGGAUUCGAUUUUUUUAAAAAAAUUGUCUCAAAGUUGGUGACAGGAGAGAGUGGGGAGCUGAAUAUGGACCUGAUCAGGGACUUAAUGGACACCCUUAGAAGAUGCUGACCUGCAGUUAGAUUUUUAAGGUUUGAUAGGGGUGUAUUAGAAAAGAAAAGGAGGAUAAAGAGUGUGUCUAUGUUUUGAGUAUUCAAUAUACAAAUGA